rnacentral:rRNA from 1 species
GACGAACGCUAGCGGCGGGCUUAAUACAUGCGAGUCGUGGGGUGGUAGCAAUACUACACCGGCGCACGGGUGCGUAACGCGUAUGCAAUCUACCUUUAUCUGGGGGAUAGCCCGGGGGAACCCGGAUUAAUACCCCAUAACAAAUUUCUUGGCAUCAAGAGAUUUUAAAAGAUUUAUCGGAUAGAGAUGAGCAUGCGUAAGAUUAGAUAGUUGGCGAGGUAACGGCUCACCAAGUCUACGAUCUUUAGGGGCUCUGAGAGGAGAAUCCCCCACACUGGCACUGAGAUACGGGCCAGACUCCUACGGGAGGCAGCAGUAGGGAAUAUUGGGCAAUGGGCGCAAGCCUGACCCAGCCACGCCGCGUGCAGGAAGAAGGCCCUCUGGGUUGUAAACUGCUUUUGACUGGGAAAAAAAGACUCCUUGCGAGGAGAGUUGACGGUACCAGCAGAAUAAGCCACGGCUAACUACGUGCCAGCCGCCGCGGUAACAC